rnacentral:miRNA from 1 species
UAGGGGGACAAGCCAUUCUGGUUUUCCUGGGACUGAGGGGUUUCCUGGGAUGUGGAGCUUUACGUACUCAAUUCUGCAAAGUC